rnacentral:rRNA from 1 species
UUAAGCGACUAAGCGUACACGGUGGAUGCCCUGGCAGUCAGAGGCGAUGAAGGACGUGCUAAUCUGCGAAAAGCGUCGGUAAGGUGAUAUGAACCGUUAUAACCGGCGAUGUCCGAAUGGGGAAACCCAGUGCAAUUCGUUGCACUAUCGUUAACUGAAUACAUAGGUUAACGAGGCGAACCGGGGGAACUGAAACAUCUAAGUACCCCGAGGAAAAGAAAUCAACCGAGAUUCCCCCAGUAGCGGCGAGCGAACGGGGAGCAGCCCAGAGUCUGAAUCAGCUUGUGUGUUAGUGGAACGGUCUGGAAAGUCCGACGGUACAGGGUGAUAGUCCCGUACACCAAAAUGCACAGGCUGUGAACUCGAAGAGUAGGGCGGGACACGUGGUAUCCUGUCUGAAUAUGGGGGGACCAUCCUCCAAGGCUAAAUACUCCUGACUGACCGAUAGUGAACCAGUACCGUGAGGGAAAGGCGAAAAGAACCCCGGCGAGGGGAGUGAAAAAGAACCUGAAACCGUGUACGUACAAGCAGUGGGAGCACCUUCGGGUGUGACUGCGUACCUUUUGUAUAAUGGGUCAGCGACUUAUAUUCUGUAGCAAGGUUAACCGUAUAGGGGAGCCGCAGGGAAACCGAGUCUUAACUGGGCGUUAAGUUGCAGGGUAUAGACCCGAAACCCGGUGAUCUAGCCAUGGGCAGGUUGAAGGUUGGGUAACACUAACUGGAGGACCGAACCGACUAAUGUUGAAAAAUUAGCGGAUGACUUGUGGCUGGGGGUGAAAGGCCAAUCAAACCGGGAGAUAGCUGGUUCUCCCCGAAAGCUAUUUAGGUAGCGCCUCGUGAAUUCAUCUUCGGGGUAGAGCACUGUUUCGGCUAGGGGGUCAUCCCGACUUACCAACCCGAUGCAAACUACGAAUACCGAAGAAUGUUAUCACGGGAGACACACGGCGGGUGCUAACGUCCGUCGUGAAGAGGGAAACAACCCAGACCGCCAGCUAAGGUCCCAAAGUCAUGGUUAAGUGGGAAACGAUGUGGGAAGGCACAGACAGCCAGGAUGUUGGCUUAGAAGCAGCCAUCAUUUAAAGAAAGCGUAAUAGCUCACUGGUCGAGUCGGCCUGCGCGGAAGAUGUAACGGGGCUAAACCAUGCACCGAAGCUGCGGCAGCGACACUAUGUGUUGUUGGGUAGGGGAGCGUUCUGUAAGCCUGCGAAGGUGACCUGUGAGGGUUGCUGGAGGUAUCAGAAGUGCGAAUGCUGACAUAAGUAACGAUAAAGCGGGUGAAAAGCCCGCUCGCCGGAAGACCAAGGGUUCCUGUCCAACGUUAAUCGGGGCAGGGUGAGUCGACCCCUAAGGCGAGGCCGAAAGGCGUAGUCGAUGGGAAACAGGUUAAUAUUCCUGUACUUGGUGUUACUGCGAAGGGGGGACGGAGAAGGCUAUGUUAGCCGGGCGACGGUUGUCCCGGUUUAAGCAUGUAGGCUGGUUGUCCAGGCAAAUCCGGAUAAUCAAGGCUGAGGUGUGAUGACGAGGCACUACGGUGCUGAAGUAACAAAUGCCCUGCUUCCAGGAAAAGCCUCUAAGCAUCAGGUAACAUCAAAUCGUACCCCAAACCGACACAGGUGGUCAGGUAGAGAAUACCAAGGCGCUUGAGAGAACUCGGGUGAAGGAACUAGGCAAAAUGGUGCCGUAACUUCGGGAGAAGGCACGCUGGUGUGUAGGUGAAGUCCCUGCGGAUGGAGCUGAGACCAGUCGAAGAUACCAGCUGGCUGCAACUGUUUAUUAAAAACACAGCACUGUGCAAACACGAAAGUGGACGUAUACGGUGUGACGCCUGCCCGGUGCCGGAAGGUUAAUUGAUGGGGUUAUCCGUAAGGAGAAGCUCUUGAUCGAAGCCCCGGUAAACGGCGGCCGUAACUAUAACGGUCCUAAGGUAGCGAAAUUCCUUGUCGGGUAAGUUCCGACCUGCACGAAUGGCGUAAUGAUGGCCAGGCUGUCUCCACCCGAGACUCAGUGAAAUUGAACUCGCUGUGAAGAUGCAGUGUACCCGCGGCAAGACGGAAAGACCCCGUGAACCUUUACUAUAGCUUGACACUGAACAUUGAGCCUUGAUGUGUAGGAUAGGUGGGAGGCUUUGAAGCGUGGACGCCAGUCUGCGUGGAGCCAACCUUGAAAUACCACCCUUUAAUGUUUGAUGUUCUAACGUUGGCCCCUGACCGGGGUUGCGGACAGUGUCUGGUGGGUAGUUUGACUGGGGCGGUCUCCUCCCAAAGCGUAACGGAGGAGCACGAAGGUUAGCUAAUCCUGGUCGGACAUCAGGAGGUUAGUGCAAUGGCAUAAGCUAGCUUGACUGCGAGCGUGACGGCGCGAGCAGGUGCGAAAGCAGGUCAUAGUGAUCCGGUGGUUCUGAAUGGAAGGGCCAUCGCUCAACGGAUAAAAGGUACUCCGGGGAUAACAGGCUGAUACCGCCCAAGAGUUCAUAUCGACGGCGGUGUUUGGCACCUCGAUGUCGGCUCAUCACAUCCUGGGGCUGAAGUAGGUCCCAAGGGUAUGGCUGUUCGCCAUUUAAAGUGGUACGCGAGCUGGGUUUAGAACGUCGUGAGACAGUUCGGUCCCUAUCUGCCGUGGGCGCUGGAGAAUUGAGGGGGGCUGCUCCUAGUACGAGAGGACCGGAGUGGACGCAUCACUGGUGUUCGGGUUGUCAUGCCAAUGGCACUGCCCGGUAGCUAAAUGCGGAAGAGAUAAGUGCUGAAAGCAUCUAAGCACGAAACUUGCCCCGAGAUGAGUUCUCCCUGAGACUUUAAGUCUCCUGAAGGAACGUUGAAGACGACGACGUUGAUAGGCCGGGUGUGUAAGCGCAGCGAUGCGUUGAGCUAACCGGUACUAAUGAACCGUGAGGCUUAACCUU